ACUAUGAUUCUCAAAGUAACUGCGAGUGAACUGAGAAGAGCCCAACGUUAAAAGCUAUGUCUGUAAUAGGACAUCGCAUUGUAACGUAUAGAUACGUUCUCAAGAUAAAAGCCUACACCAAAGUUACAUAGAGAGGUACGCCAUAGAGGGUGAUAGCCCCGUAUGUGGUGUAGGCAUUAAUUUUAUCAAGUAGACGUAAUCUAAGAGUCGUGUUGUUUGGGAUUGCAACAUAAAGUAGGUGGUAAACUUCACCUAAGGCUAAAUAUAGACACGAGACCGAUAGCAAAUAAGUACCAUGAGGGAAAGUUGAAAAGAAUCCUGAAAAGGGAGUGAAAAGUACGUGAAACUGUUCAUGGGGAAGCAGACGGUAGAAUCGAAGCAUAUUAUUGAUUGCAUUUUUAAGUAUAUGUUUUGCAUAUAUAUAAAAGUGUUUCUCAAUAAUAAUGCGCGCUGAGCUUAUCAUAUUUUGUGUUUUAUACACAGUACAUGCACGCCGGGGUCAAUAGUUUAAGAGAAUAGAGGUAGAAUUAUUUACAUUGAAACUUUUAAAUAUUCGGCUCCCCGCUAUAGGUGCAUAAUAUGAUAUGGGCCAAUAAGAUAGGCGAUUUAUGGACGUAUUAAUAAGAAAGUAUACAAUAGAAUGUUGUUAAACUACUAUUGUGCUUACUUAUUAAUUACUAAAUAAAUCUAUUCUCAGCGAGAUAUGCUGCUGUC
rnacentral:rRNA from 1 species